UUUAGAACUCGAGAUAUAGGUUAAAUAUCGAACAAUGUCUGAGCUGCAUGAUAGAUUCAGACUUCUCUUUUCUUGCUAAGAUUUGAACUUUAAAACGAUAUUAUUGAAUCUUGGACUCUUCGUGAACAUAUUAGGCAUAUGUCUUAGCUUUCCUUU
rfam:Populus trichocarpa scaffold_18_contig_82, whole genome shotgun sequence.